rnacentral:lncRNA from 1 species
UGGAAACUUAGCAUUUGUGCCAUAUUCAGCAGAUUAUAUGCAUUAUAUAUGAUUGAAACACUGUACAGUUAGAUUUUAAAUAUACCAUGUACAGAAAGUGUAUCAGGUAACUAACUUAUGAGUAUUUUUGAAAGACCGGUACCUCACAAAAAUAUCAAUUGGCUUCCUGCAUGGAAAAUGAUAAAGAAUUUUCUCAUGGUGCAUUUUAAUGUAGUUAUUCAGUUACCUUAAACAUCUGUAGCAUAUUUGAACUUCGAGGCACUAAUGGUUUUAUUUAUUGUUCAAAAAGCAGGUUGAAAGAUUAAUGAAAAAUUUUUACAGGAAAAUUCAUUUUAUUUAUCCUACAUAAGAAGAGUUUUAAAAUGUAGCAGCUGAUUUGGUUUUUGUGGGGUAAGCUUUUCCUCAUUACUAAUUAACUAGUACUUUAAAAACAUCUCUGUACACAUUUCUUUACAAAGGCAUCAAUUUGUUUCUUGUCAGCACUCCUACAUUGGUAGAUCAUAAAAAUUGAAAAACCAGACUCUAAGGUUUUACACUAUGCAUGCAAAAGAUGAAUCACAUGCAAGAUAGUAAUCCAUGAGUGUAAACUGGCUAAAAUAUGAAAACCAUCUUUGUUUAGAAAUUGCAUUAGACCCAAGUUUAUAAGGUUAUUUACAGUUUACUUAAAUGAAAUAUAGCUUCAUAAUUGAAUUUCAUGGUUAAUUUUUCACAAAAAUAUUAAUCUACUAGAAAAAUCAUUUGCAUAUAUCUACCAAAAAAACCCAACAACCUACUUAAAUGUUUGAGAUGAGAUGAGAUGGCACUACCUGCCAGAAAACUUGCACAGAAUUGCUGUCUCUGUAUGUUAACAUCGUGCCAUUGAGGCACAAGGAACACUUGACUUUUACUUAAUUGAGUAGCUUUGACAUUUCUUGCAAGUUAAAGAGUAUCUUAAUAUCUAUUGAUGUUUUCCUUGUAGGCAGCAGAGUAAGGUUUCAUUUGUCUUUUCAAAAGCUUAUUUUUUCCUGUUUAAAGGGGCUAAUGUCAAGUAUUGAAUCCUGGUUUUGCCUCCCCCCUCUUAUGAGUAUGAAGGGAGUCAUCCCUUGAAAUGUAAAAUUUAUUCCCCUGUUUUACUGAAAAAGAAAAAAAAAUUAAAAAG